UCUUCUUCCUUCUUCUCCCUUUCAGCCAACUUUUUGCCUUCCUGCGAGCUAGCACUUCCCAGAAAGCUGAUCAUUCCGGAGCUUCGCGUGGACGAAUCAUCGAGGCCGGACGCUUGUGCGGCUGCGAAGCAUCCUUGAAGGAAUCUCCUUCAAAAGCUUUGGGUUUGAUGAGAUAUAUGGUGAGGACAAUGCUGCAGGUAAAGGUGAAAGGUCCACCAACCAAAGCUCAGAGACAUAAAUUAAUGUAAUCAGAAAUGCUAUCUAGCUUCAGGUCCUACAAAAGAAGCAAGUCUAGAGUCUAAAAUCUCUCUCUUGAGGAUCAUCUAAUCAGAGAGCAGAAGAGGUGUUCUAGUGAUGCUGAUCGGAUACUAUCUUACAUGCACACAUAUUCAUUAACUUGCCAAUUACUUGGUCCAAUUCAUAGAUAAAAUGACAAUAACAAUGUCCAUUGAAUAAGGAUAGCAGUUGAAACUCCAUCAAAUGAGGAUGAUUUGGAUAUUGUAUAUGAGAUGAUGAACAUGAUCUAUUUUAUUCACAAUCCUUGUUUUGGAUAAGGUCUUGGCCAACUUUCCUCUUGUUACCCUUUUAAAAAAAGGCUUCUCUUAUUUUGAAUUCGUUGUAUGUGUAAUGUCUUUCGCACAAAAAAAUAAUUGAACUUCUUUCACGAUA